AGAGUUUGAUCCUGGCUCAGGAUGAACGCUAGCUACAGGCUUAACACAUGCAAGUCGAGGGGAAACGACAUCGAAAGCUUGCUUUUGAUGGGCGUCGACCGGCGCACGGGUGAGUAACGCGUAUCCAACCUGCCCACCACUUGGGGAUAACCUUGCGAAAGUAAGACUAAUACCCAAUGACGUCUCUAGAAGACAUCUGAAGGAGAAUUAAAGAUUUAUCGGUGAUGGAUGGGGAUGCGUCUGAUUAGCUUGUUGGCGGGGUAACGGCCACCAAGGCGACGAUCAGUAGGGUUCUGAGAGGACGGUCCCCANAUUGGAACUGAGACACGGUCCAAACUCCGUACGGGAGGCA
rnacentral:rRNA from 1 species